AUUGAACGCUGGCGGCAGGCUUAACACAUGCAAGUCGAGCGAGCGGCGGACGGGUGAGUAAUGUCUGGGAAACUGCCUGAUGGAGGGGGAUAACUACUGGAAACGGUAGCUAAUACCGCAUACCAUCAGAUGUGCCCAGAUGGGAUUAGCUAGUAGGUGGGGUAAUGGCUCACCUAGGCGACGAUCCCUAGUUGGUCUGAGAGGAUGACCAGCAAUACUGGAAAUGAUCGACGGUCCAGACUCCUACGGGAGGCAGCAGUGGGGAAUAUUGCACACUGGGCGCAAGCCUGAUGCAGCCAUGCCGCGUUUGUGAAGAAGGCCUUCGGGUUGUAAAGCACUCUCAGCGCGGCGGCGUUACUCGCAGAAGAAGCACCGGCUAACUCCGUGCCAGCAGCCGCGGUAAUUC
rnacentral:rRNA from 1 species